rnacentral:rRNA from 1 species
CCUACGGGUGGCUGCAGUGAGGAAUAUUGGUCAAUGGUCGGGAGACUGAACCAGCCAAGCCGCGUGAGGGAUGAAGGUACAGAGUAUCGUAAACCUCUUUUGUCAGGGAAUAAAGUCGGGCACGUGUCCCCGUUUGAGUGUACCUUAAGAAAAAGCAUCGGCUAACUCCGUGCCAGCAGCCGCGGUAAUACGGAGGAUGCGAGCGUUAUCCGGAUUUAUUGGGUUUAAAGGGUGCGCAGGUGGGCUGUUAAGUCAGGUGUUAAAGCUCGGGGCUCAACCCUCGCCGUGCAUUUGAUACUGGCAGUCUUGAGUUGAGGAGAGGUAUGCGGAAUGCGUGGUGUAGCGGUGAAAUGCUUAGAUAGCGCGAAGAACUCCGAUUGCGAAGGCAGCAUGCC